rnacentral:rRNA from 1 species
UACAGAGGUGGCAAGCGUUGUUCGGAAUUACUGGGCGUAAAGGGCUCGUAGGCGGCCAACUAAGUCGGACGUGAAAUCCCUCGGCUUAACCGGGGAACUGCGUCCGAUACUGGAUGGCUUGAGAUUGGGAGAGGGAUGCGGAAUUCCAGGUGUAGCGGUGAAAUGCGUAGAUAUCUGGAGGAACACCGGUGGCGAAGGCGGCAUCCUGGACCAACACUGACGCUGAUGAGCGAAAGCCAGGGGAGCAAACGGG